UACGUAGGGGGCAAGCGUUGUCCGGAUUUAUUGGGCGUAAAGAGCGUGUAGGCGGCCGCACAGGUCCGUUGUGAAAACUGGAGGCUUAACCUUCAGACGUCGAUGGAAACCGUGCGGCUAGAGUCCGGAAGAGGAGAAUGGAAUUCCUGGUGUAGCGGUGAAAUGCGCAGAUAUCAGGAAGAACACCCGUGGCUAAGGCGGUUCUCUAGUACGGUACUGACGCUGAGACGCGAAAGCGUGGGAAGCGAACAGG
rnacentral:rRNA from 1 species